CCCCUGCACGGGCGCCAGGAAGGGGCUGUGCGGCUGCGCGGGGCUCGGGAGCGGCACGGGCGCGCUGGGCAGGAAAGCUUUAACUCUCCUGAAAAGGCCACAGUACUUCCUCCUGAGAGCUUUGUUAAGUUGACCCAAACUGGACAAAUGACUGGGGCCUUAGAUGCCCCCUCUUGCAGGUGUGACAUUAUCCGGUGCUUGCUGGCCAGCUGGGUCCUCUCUGUGUGGGAGACUGAAGAAGGCCCUCUUUUUUUUCUUUUUAAGACUAUUCAUGAGAGACACAGUCAGAGGGAUAAGCAGGCUCCAUGCAGGGAGCCCAAUGUGGGGACUCGAUCCGGGACUCCAGGAUCACCUACAGGAUCACGCCAGACACUUAACCGCUGAGCCAGCCAGGCGUCCCACGUGCAGAAGCCUCUUAACAUCAGAGUCAUUUCAAAUGAUUCAACAACCAGCAUCAAAGCAAAACUAGGAAGACUCAGAAAUUAGACAAUUCUAAUUAAAUAUUGAUCUGCACUUAGACUCCUGGUAUCUAAAGACCUUUGUUGGAGAAUACCGCAAUCACCAACAGAAUACCUAUGUUAUUGUUGCAAAUAUUGCUUUCUCUCUUUUUCUUUUUCUUUUUUCCUUUAUAGAAGUGACCUGUAGCUUCCAAACACUGAAAAAGAUGGAUUUUGGGGGUGGGAGCGUUUCUUUGCAAUUCCAGAAACUGAGGAUUUAUGGAUUUAUAAAGGGGAAGGGGAAGAAGAAGUAAUUGAAAAAGAAAAAUGUAGUGAAUAUUUGGUAAUCUCAGCUGAAUUGCUCUAAGACAAAGUGUUCUGGGUGACUUCAGAGCUCUCCCUCCAGCUGUCACCUUGAAUACCCAGAGCAGGUUUUCCUAGUUGCACUAAUGGGACUGGGAAUUUAAUCAAGUGGGAAAACCUGAGUCUUGUCAGAGGGUGGAGGAAACAGCUCUGGCUGACCCCCUGCACUUCUCUGGUACCAGCAGGACAAGGUAUGGAGGGAGUUGAAUUCCUAGGCUCUAUUUCUGAAGCGAGGAGCGUCACAGAAUGUGGGAUGGCAGUCGGCUUCCUCUGAAAGGAGCCUAAAAGACCAUCAAGUCCACACAUCAUUUUACUCUGGGACAAUCAGAAGCAAGGAGGAGACCUGACAUUGCCUAGUAGUGCACAGCAAGCUGCUGUCACACUGUGAUCCUACUUCUUGAUUUACUCUGUGACCUCCAGGGCCAACUGCUUCAGCUUGCUCUGUCAUUUUGCAGAAGAGCCUAGUCAGGGACACUGAUGUGGCGCCAGCAAGCAUUUUGUGGGGUAUCCUGUUGCCUUGGGCUGGUGUGAUUGUUGUCAGAGGCCUCAGCUGCGUUUGUGAGCCUCCUUUACGGGCUCCUGCUUCUCACGAGUCCCGUGAUAAUAGCAUGUUGUGAGCACUGCUAGGAGCCAGAAGCUGGACAUCCCAGGCAGAAAAGGACGUGGCCCAAGGGCUUGUACUCUAAGAAAGAAGAGAGUAUCCUACUGAUGGCUCCAGUCCACUAGCCUCAAUGCAACCGUCACUAUCACAGCCUCUUCUAGCAGACGUGUACCAGGCAUCGUAUCGGGCUGGCAAUUUCUCUGGACUUUUCCUUCCUCGGCAUCCCUGAUUCCUCACCCACUCUGAUCACCAACAGUAUUCUCAACUCAAUGAUGAGGUCAACAGGAAGUGUGUGGCAGGGAUGGUCCCUGUUGGUGCAGCCGGGUGAAGAUGAGGAGGUCCAGGGGCACCUGGGUGGCUCAGUGGUUGAGUGUCUGCCUUCAGCUCAGGGCCUGAUCCCGGGGUCCUGGGAUUGAGUCCCACAUUGGGCUUUCUGUUUUUAGAUAUAGUACCUGACAGCCUUUGCUGAACAGGGCAGCAGCUCUGAAACCACACUUGCUUUAAUAAGCACCACCCUUUAUCCAAAUGCUUUUCAGCUUCUCUGCCCUCACGGAAACCUUGACACCUCACACUCCUGCUACUAGAAUCUGAUGCCUUCAGAAGUUGGUUUGUUUUUGUUUUAAGUGGGGGGCAAAAAGUGCUCUAAUGUCUUGCUACUCACCUGUGCUUCUCACCCCAGCAGUGUCCUCACCACCUGGGAGCUCCUUAAGAAAUGCGGAACCUCAGGCUCUGCCUCUUAUCUAAUUAAUCCGGAUCUGCAUUUGAACAAGAUCCUCAGUGGACUCCAGUGUACAUCAGAGUUCCAGAAACACUGCUCUAGCAGAAGUUGGAGGCCACCAUUUGGUGUUUAACAACUGAUGGUUAUCUGAUGGGCGAAUAAAUCCCAGCAUCCUUCGCCUAGUUGGCCGCAGGUCUUUUGGGAAUGCUGUACCCCUGCACAGUAGGACCUGUGAUCUGAGGAGAUCUUGGAUGUACAUCCUAACUCUGCUUAUGUGAAGGUCUUGGGCAAGUUGCUGCACCCCGGUGUCUGCAUCCAUGAAACAGAGUUGAUACCCGCUUCCUAGGCUUAUUGAGAUGACUCAGCGAGGAGCUGGAAGGUCAAGAUGAAGUCUGCAAUGUGGAGCUUAGCGUGGCACCCCUCACACCAGAAACACGACCCAGAGGUGAUGAUGGUACAGCUGCUGGAGGUCUCAUGCUGCCUGGAGGAAGAGUAGGCACCUGGAUCCUGGCACUACAGCUUGGAAUGCUUCUGAAUUCUUUGCCUUCUAGCAGAAAGGGAGUUUAUUUUUUUCUUUCUUUUUUUUAAGAUUUUAUUUAUUUAUUCAUGAGAGACCUAGAGAGAGAGGCAGAGACACAGGCAGAGGGAGAAGCAGGCUCCAUGCAGGGGGCCUGAUGCGGGACCCGAUGCUCGAACUCCAGGAUCGCGCCCAACCCCUGAACCACCCAGGCGUCCCAUAAGUGGGGUUUCUCUGCCUGCUAGAGUGGGACGUGGCUUCUCUGAAGUGCAGCUUGCAGAGAAGUCAGUUCUCCCACAAGGGGCCUUGUAUGACUUCUCAGCCAGUCCUCAUUGGAGUGUUUUUGGCACAGCUGUUGGCAGAGCUCUCCUGCCAGGUGACCUGGGUUCUGGUCCUGGCUCUCCACUUUGUAGAGUUGGGACUUGUCGACCAUGAUUGCAUGGGCCAAUUCCUUAAAAAUCUUUCUCUGUCUCUUUCUCCCUUGUACACACACAUACAUACACACCCUCUUGGUCCUGUUUCUCUGAAUCCUGAUCAGUACUCCCAGAAUCGUGUUAGCUGCUGGGUAGAGCGAUCAACAGACCCAAGAGACUCAGCCAGGUCCCUGAGAGAAUCCCUUGCAGUGAAGGAUUGGAGGUCUGAUGGUACCUAGUGAUGGCGGACAGUGGACACACAAGGGGGGGGGUUGGAGAGCAGAGUGUGGUCAGGAGAGACCCCCAAGGAGGACGUGGGUUUGGGUUGACCAAGGAUGAGUGGAGCACCUGGAGAACCAGGCUGUGGGGCAGUCGAGGCUGAGGGAGCGUAUGAAGCAGGGCAUGGAGGUAUUGAGGAGCCAUGGGGAGAGGGGGCAAGUCUCCUCACCCCUCCUCUCUGGUUGGCUGUCACUUCCAAGGGAAGCCUUUCUGGCUUCUGUAUUUGGGUGAAGCCCUUAAUAUGUAGUCCCAGCAUCCUGUACUUGUGACACAUAAUCCCAUUGUUGUGUAAUUGCAUUUUUUGACUGAUUAUUCGAUAAAUAAUCUGUAAUCUGAGUGUAAAGUGACUCGGAGAAGCUUGUUACUGGUGAUGGGGAACAGAGUGAGGGGUUCUUACUGAAAUCCAUGAGACAAGUGACAGAGUGACGAAGGCAGUGGCUGUGGGGAUGCCGGGGUGGGCGGAGACAGACGUUAAGGAGAAGGGGCUGUUUGCCGCAGGGCUCUAGAUUGUCUCUUUCUGGUUUAUUACAAUCUCCCCAGAAUUUAGUGUGGCAUUUGGCACACAUAGGGACUCUGUCACGUUGGUUAUGGAAUAAAGGAAUGCCUAGUAGACACGUGCCUGGCACACAGUGGUGCUUCCUGAAUAUUUUGCCCAGCACCUGAACAUUUUGUUGCACCUCAAUGUUGUGUACUUUACUGAGAGUCCUAGCUGCCAGGGUCCUGCUUCAAGUGUUGAGACAUCUGGCUGCCUCCCAUAUCUUGCAGUAAGUCCUGAAGACUGUUGUGUGAGCCACCAGGUUGUGUGCACACCAAGGGGGAGUCCCUCUGUUUGUGACAGGUUGGGGUGAGUCCUCCUUUCCCUUCCCACCAAACAGAAAGCCCCAUUCUCUUUGGGAAUGCAGGCCAAGAGUAUGCCCUUCCCCAGACUCGGGCAGUGAAUCCUUGUCUGGUAUGUUGUAUGUGCCAGGAAUGGUAUUAGGAGCUUUACACAUAUUGUUUGAUUUGCUAUUUUCAGUUCUUUGAAGUGUUAUAAUCUUCAUUUUCUGGAGGAGGAAACUAAGGAUGGGUCACCUGGCUGGUAGGGGUAGAGAGGGGAGGGCCAUCCUGCAGGCUCUGUACCCUCCUCUCUGUGCCAGGAGGUCUCAAGCCUGGCUGCCGGUUGUAACCCAGGCUUGGUAUUCCAUCAGAAGCUCCAGGCCCAGGGCCCAGGCAUCAGUAUUUUUCAGAGCUUUCCAAAUGUUGGCAGUGUGCACCCAAGGUUGAGAAGCACUGUUUCUCAGGCCUCCCCUGGGGCAUCUCUCUGGCUUCCAGAUUCUUGUUCCAUCACUCCUUGGCUGUCCCAAACUUGUGAUACUCAAAACAACACUCUGCCCUCUUCCCCUAAAUUUGCUUCUCAUAACCUUGCUUUAGAAUUCCUUCACCCAAGGAACAUGGGAAUGUGGGGUCGUCUGUGAGUCUAGCUUUGCUCCCACAGCCUCUGAGUCCUGCUGAUUUCAUCUUGACACCUCUCCAGUCCCUCUCAGGAUCCCCACAGCUACUAUCAUUACUGCCUCAUGGGUUUUCCUCUUGGGUUUUGGCAAUAGCCUCGUGACAUUUUGCUUGCCGCCAGCAAGCUCCCCCAGUGCGUUCUAUGUCUACUGGUGCUAGGUCCGUCUUUCUAAAAUGCAAAAAUCCUUCAGUUGCCUCCCAUUGGCUUUGAGAAAAGCAUCCCAACUCCUCAAUAUGUCCUAUCCUGCUCUAAGGUACCAGUCUUCUGCUGCAUUAUUUCAGGCAGCCUACAGUCCUGUGUUAAAGCACCCGCAGUGUUUCCUCAGAGCGCUAAGCGCCCCUGUGCCUGCCUCUCCCUGCGGUCUCUUGUGUUUCCAGCACCCCCCUUUUCCUGGGUAAAUUCAGUUUAUCUUUCAUGACCCUGUUCAGGAGCCUCUUCCAGGAGCCUCCCUAAAUGACCUCUGACCACAGAGCUGGUUUGGGUAUUUCUCCCAUGUGCUGUAGUGAGAGCACCUUGAAUUAUGUUGUAUUUUCCUACGUGGUUGACUGUUUCUCCACUAGAUUGAGAGGCUCUGAGAAUUAGGCAUUAUUUUACUCAUACUUGAAUCCCUGAAGCCAAGCAAAUUGCCUAGCAUGGCACACAGCACACAUGUAGUCACACAGCGUGUGUUUGCUGAAUGAGGAAGUACCAUGAGAUGAUACAAAGCUUGGACCCUGAAGGUAGGCCACCAAUGCAUAAUGUUGGAAUUGAGAAUGGACGGGAUAUAGGAUAGUGGGGAGAAAGGAAAAGGAAAAGGCAGAGAGCCAUCAGAAGAUUCUAGUAUCUGGGGUAGGAAGACAUAAGCCUAGUGUAGAGCUUCAGAUACAGAAACAAGGAGCAAGAAGGGAAAGGCCAAACUUAGGAUCACAUUAUUUUUUAUAAAGAUAGGAACAUUUUUAGAAAACAUCUUGGAUGCAUUCAAAAAGCAACUACAUCCAACAUGGUGUCAGGGGAAUACUUGAUUCUAGAUUCUUGAACUAUUUUAAUUAGGAGUGAAUGUCUAUCUGUACGUUUCUUCUGUGACCCUGCUGCAAAAGGCACUUACCAUAUUUGUGGCAAAUAAGGCCUUUCCUAUGUGGGGGGAAUCUCUGCAUUAGGACUUCUUUGCCUGGAGGUAGAAACCAGAACUCAGUGUCCCAGUUUCCCUUGAAGUCUGGGCACAAAAACUGACCUAGAAUCUGCCAGUCAGACUUUUAUUUGGAAGAAGACAAUCUAAGAAAAGAAAGCUGACUGGAGUGUCUUUCUGGAAAGGGGGGCUUGUGGUGGUGGAUGGACACACAGCGUUCAGAAUAGCAGUGUCAGAGGCCCCGAUAGGGUCCUCCAGUGUUCACUGUCGUGGUGGGACCUGCACCUUCCCUCAGUGGCUGCGAGGUGUGAGAGAAGGCCUGUGGGGUGAGUGGCUGUGGUUCCCGGCUGCAGACUCCCCCCCCCCCCAAUUCUCUGCUGCUCCU